AGUGUGAAAAUCCUUCCGUAACAGAAUUAUGUUGAGGUAAUUUACACAAAAUGCCCACAGGUCUUUACAUUUUAGUGGGAAUAGUUUUUUACUUAAGAGUGAUUACUCCUGACUACCAACCUCCCAAAACAUAGCUUUCUCAUUGCCGUUAUCACGCCUGUGUUUGUGUGUGUGUUAGGAAGGGUUUGUUAAAUGAACAUUUCAAAGGUUUAUACUUCCCUAUAUAUUGUGGAUUGUAUUAAUAUUAAUUCAAGGGUAAAGGAUAAACGUUAAUCUUAUUCAAGGAUGAAGACGGUUUCAUCAUACAUGAUGCAUCAUGGUUUUUUGCCUGCAGAUGAGGCCCCAUAUUUUUUUUGCCCCUGCCCUUCAAACAGCCCUGGUUUGCCACUGAUCCUGAAUGAUGCAUAAAACUUCUUAAAUGACAGUCUUUCAUUCACAGGACACGGAUGGAGAGACCAGACUCGCCUUUACCCAGCCAGGUAUCUAUGAACAGAGACAGUUCAAAGAUACAACCACUUCGCCUCAGUCAAACAGGAGGUAUGGUCAACAACACUGCUUACUCUACAAAUCACUCAGACGGAGGGACCAGACUCACCUUCACUCAGCCAUGCAUCUAUGAGGAGUGACAGCUCAAUGAUACAACCUCUUCGUUUCAGUCAGACAGACAAAAGGACUCAGAUGGACAGACCAGACUUACCUUCACCCAGCCAAGUAUCUAUGAAGAGCAACAGCUCAAUGAUUCAGCCACUCCAAAUCAGUGAAACAGGCACAAGCUUGCUGUCUCCAGAUAUUUUUAGAUGUUCAGUGUGCUCUGAAGUACUGCGGGACCCUGUCUCUAAUACCUGUGGGCACAAUUACUGCAAGGACUGCAUCACAGAAUACUGGGCUCAGUCUGAACAUGGGGGUGAAAGAUGCCCAAAGUGUAGAAAGACAUCAAUAUUACAGCAUGUGGCUCACACAAACAAGGCCCUUGCUGAAGUGAUAGCAGAGAUUAGGUUUACAGAAACUGCAGCAUGAGAAGCCAGAGACAUAAAUAAGGGAGUAUGUCAGUACCAUGGAAGAGUUCUGGAUAUGUUCUGUAGGACUCAUCAGAUUCGUAUCUGCAAGAGCUGUGCUAUACAGGAGCACAGAGACCAUAAAAAGCACUACACAAAGGUAAGUACAGCGGAGGAUGCUUGAUUGAAGACAUGUACACGUUUAAGUACACGUCACGUCAUGAAUCUGUUUUUCUUGGGUUGUUUCUCAAGAACAAAUU